UGGGAAACAGAUACCUGGGCAGUGCUGAUCUGUGCUCUGCCCACCACUGGCUCUCCCUACAGCAUCCUUGCUCUCUGAUGACCGGGGUAUUAAGAGAUAUCGCCACGGACAGAUACGGAGUAGACACUA
ensembl:scaRNA